GGAUAAACCNGGUGUAAUUCUAUGGCUAAUACAUGCGCACAUGCCUCUUCCCUCGUGGAAGGGUAGUGUUUAUUAGAUACAGAACCAACCCACCUUCGGGUGGUCCUCAGGUGAUUCAUAGUAACCGAACGGAUCGCAUUAUGGCCUUUUGGUCGGCGAUGGAUCAUUCAAGUUUCUGACCUAUCAGCUUUCGACGGUACUGUAUUGGACUACCGUGGCAGUGACGGGUAACGGGGAAUUAGGGUUCGAUUCCGGAGAGGGAGCCUGAGAAACGGCUACCACAUCUAAGGAAGGCAGCAGGCGCGCAAAUUACCCAAUCCUGACUCAGGGAGGUAGUGACAAGAAAUAACAACACUGGAAAUUAUAUUUCUAGUGAUUGGAAUGAUGGGAAUCCAAACCCCUUUCAGAGUAACAAUUGGAGGGCAAGUCUGGUGCCAGCAGCCGCGGUAAUUCCAGCUCCAAUAGCGUAUAUUAAAGUUGUUGCAGUUAAAAAGCUCGUAGUUGGAUAUCUGCUGGAAGCAGCCAGUCCGCCCUUUGUGGGUGUGCACUUGGUGAAUUCUGGCAUCCUCCUGAUUGGUGUUAUCAUCACUUCAUUGUGUUGAUGGCAGCUGUCAGGACCGUUACUUUGAGAAAAUUAGAGUGUUUCAAGCAGGCUUGUUGCCUUGAAUACUGCAGCAUGGAAUAACAAGAUAGGAUUUCGGUUCUAUUUUGUUGGUUUCUAGGACUGAAGUAAUGAUUAAUAGGGACAGUUGGGGGCAUUCGUAUUUAACUGUCAGAGGUGAAAUUCUUAGAUUUGUUAAAGACGAACUACUGCGAAAAGCAUUUGCC
rnacentral:rRNA from 1 species